rnacentral:lncRNA from 1 species
ACUUUUGUUUUCCUGCUCCCAGCAGGGUUAGGCUUGCUGAGGGGCAGGCACAGGAGUCCUGGCUGAGCUCAUGGCCUGAGGCUGCCUAGCGGCCACGGGGAAUGGUUGCAAUGGCGGAGGCAGAGGCAGGGGUGGCAGUGGAGGUCCGUGGACUGCCCCCUGCCGUGCCCGACGAGCUGCUCACUCUCUACUUUGAAAACCGCCGACGCUCUGGAGGGGGACCUGUGUUGAGCUGGCAGAGACUGGGCUGUGGGGGCGUCCUCACCUUCAGAGAGCCUGCAGGUGAGAGGGCUGGCUGAAGGGACAGCCUGGGUGCCCUGAUAUUCUAAUGCCUGACAUCCUGCCCCGCCCCUGCCCACAGACGCCGAGAGGGUCUUGGCCCAGGCAGAUCACGAACUACAUGGUGCCCAGCUGAGCCUGCGGCCAGCUCCACCACGAGCCCCUGCACGCCUGCUGCUCCAAGGACUGCCCCCUGGCACCACGCCCCA